UGCCUUUCUCUCCACUCACGGCCUCGCCGAAUGUCAACCGUCAAAGCGCUAGUGGGUUGGUGGGAGAAAUUAGGUGUCGUCGGUCCUUUCUUCCUCCCACCCGCCACUAUCUGCGAGAACCCGGGAAUUCUCGUAUCUUCUUCUCCAUUGUGAGCUUCGAUUCCGAUAUCCCAUGUAUCCCGUGCCCAAACACUCCUUCGCACAUAGUGACCUUAAGCUUUAGCUAUUCGACAAAUGGGUGUGCACUCGACAGUAAUGGAGGCGAUAACGUGGUACACAGGCCUAUCCCCCACGGCCUUCUUCACCAUUCUGGUUAUGAUGGUUAUGGUCUACCGAAUAGUCUGCGGAAUGUUUGUUUCUCCUGAAGACUACAAUAGGCCUCCUACCAUUACCGCUCCAAACAAUCUUGGGUUGGAUGGCCUGAACGUCGACGCUCCUGAGGCGGUUCAAUUGGGAGAGAUGACUGAGCAGGAAUUGCGAAUCUUUAAUGGCUCCGACCCCAGUAAACCAAUCUUAGUGUCAAUCAGAGGCCAGAUCUACGAUGUCUCUGCCGGCAGGAAUUUUUAUGGUCCUGGUGGACCGUAUGCUAUGUUUGCCGGAAAAGAAUGCAGCAGAGCCCUUGCCCUCCUUUCUUUUAAACCUGAGGAUAUCAAUGGGAAUCUUGAAGGUCUGAGUGAGGAAGAACUUGUAAUUUUGGAGGACUGGGAGUAUAAAUUCAUUGAAAAAUAUGUGAAGGUUGGUCAGCUUGUUCCUGAACAAAGCACCCAGCAAAAUGAGUGCCGGGGAGAAAUCAAAGACAAACCUGCUGAUGAAUGCAAGUGAGCAGAAUAAAAACCAUCUCGACAUGAUGGGGCUUCCAUUCAGUUCAUUCAGCUGACUCUUGUAGAACGUGACUGGUGCCUUUUGUAUAGCUUUUGUUGGGUAAAUGACGGAAGGAUUAUUGUUUUUUUGGAGACUGGGUGUUGGCUUUGAACGCUGAGAUAUAUUAAAUCCAUUCAUGUAGAUCCCACUCAUUAUAUUUAUUUCUCUGCACUGCAAAGUCUUCUACAGGAAUUGGGAGAAUCAAUUUCUGGAUGUAAAUUCUCGUAAAAACUUAACUAUAAGUGGAUUUAGAUUCCUUGUGCCCAUGGUGGGAGGAAGCUAUGCAGUAUGCACAGACAGAGCAGGGAGAUGAUCAUAGACGGGAUUGGGCUCAUUGUGGGCUGUGGCAUGUGAGAUAAUGAAUAAGUGUCUAUGAAAGCAGUGGGGCAAAGAAAAAUGACAAUACUACUGAUUCUAGCAAGCCAGUGGCCGACAAGCACAAUGUUGAAACCGCGGAAAUGUUGGUGAAUGAGGCUCGGGUUUGUCCCAUUUUCAAGUUCAAAUUUCGUGUCUCUGUUACAACACUUUCACCCCCUGUGUGAAGAAAGGAUCAGUCACUCAUCGUGUUUCUCUAUUCAGCAUUUACCAAUCGCGGAGGCGACACCUAUAUACGAGCAACUUCUCACCUUGUUUCCGACAGCUGAGAUAUUACAUCCGUCUCAUUAGAAAGGUUAAUGACAAGAAAGGGGUAGAGGGUCGAGAAGAGACUAGAAAAGCUUUUGAUUUUAUGUUCAACUACACUGAGGCCAACGUGAGAGAAUUAAUUGAUCUAAACUUGGUCGAGAUUUAGUGAGGGGCUUCUGCGAAACUGGAUGUCCUAAAGUUUACUGGCCUAGAAUGUCUUGGCAAUUAGCAUAAGCAGACAUAGAAUCUGGCCCUGUAUGGAUGGAGUACAUAGCCUUUUCAAAGGGUAGAGGCUCUCCCUGGUCUGGAAAAAGUUCACCCAGUUUGAGCAAAGUUACGGAGACCUUGCGAGCAUGUUGAUGGUGAGCACAUUAGCUUUUGGGUUGAAGAAAGAAGAAAAGAAGCACUCUCUGGACCAGGUGAAGAUGGAACAUCAGCAGUAGAGAGCUCUCUGCGGGAUGUUGUAUCACGGUAUGGUUUCAUGGAGCUUUGGCCACGCUCCUCUAAGGAUCUUGAUCAUUUAGCUCGGGAGGAGGUACUAGCUAUUUUUAUUUUAUUUUUUAAAA